rnacentral:rRNA from 1 species
AGGACGAACGCUGGCGGCGCGCUUAACACAUGCAAGUCGAGCGAGAACCGGGACUUCGGUCCCGGGGACAGCGGCGAACGGGUGAGUAACACGUGGGUAAUCGACCCUCGGCACCGGGAUAGCCCGAGGAAACUCGGAUUAAUACCGGAUGGCCCCUCCGACUCUCGAGUCGGUCGGGAAAGGUAGCUUAGGCCUCUGGCCGGGGACGAGCCCGCGGCGGAUUAGCUUGUUGGUGGGGUAAUGGCCUACCAAGGCGACGAUCCGUAGCCGGCCUGAGAGGGGCGUAGUCGGACCGA